UACGGAGGGUGCAAGCGUUAUCCGGAAUCAUUGGGUUUAAAGGGUCCGUAGGCGGGCUUGUAAGUCAGUGGUGAAAUCUCACAGCUCAACUGUGAAACUGCCAUUGAUACUGCAGGUCUUGAAUUUAGUUGAGGUGGGCGGAAUGAGUAGUGUAGCGGUGAAAUGCUUAGAUAUUACUCAGAACACCGAUUGCGAAGGCAGCUAACUGGGUCUUGAUUGACGCUGAGGCACGAAAGCGUGGGGAGCGAACAGG
rnacentral:rRNA from 1 species